rnacentral:rRNA from 1 species
CCUACGGGAGGCAGCAGUGAGGAAUAUUGGUCAAUGGCCGGAAGGCUGAACCAGCCAUGCCGCGUGAAGGUCAAUGCCCUAUGGGCUUUAAACUUCUUUUGUGCGGGAGCAAUAGUGGUCGCGUGUGGCCAGACGAGAGUACCGUACGAAUAAGCAUCGGCUCACUCCGUGCCAGCAGCGGCGGUAAUACGGAGGAACCGCGCGUUGUCCGGAUUUUUUGGGUUUAAAGGGUGCGUAGGCGGGCUUUUAAGUGAGUGGGGAAAACCUGUGGGUCAACCAUAGAAGUGCCGUUGAAACUGGGAGGCUUGAGUAGGUGUGAGGCAGGCGGAAUGCGUGGUGUAGCGGUGAAAUGCUUAGAUAGCACGCAGAACCCCGAUUGCGAAGGCAGCCUGCCAAGCCAUGACUGACGCUGAUGCACGAAAGCGUGGGGAUCAAACAGGAUUAGAUACCCGUGUAGUC